CAGCCGCCGCGGUAAUACGAAGGGUGCAAGCGUUACUCGGAAUUACUGGGCGUAAAGCGUGUGUAGGUGGUUGUUUAAGUCUGUCGUGAAAGCCCUGGGCUCAACCUGGGAAUUGCGAUGGAUACUGGGCGACUAGAGUGCGGUAGAGGAUAGUGGAAUUUCCGGUGUAGCAGUGAAAUGCGUAGAGAUCGGAAGGAACAUCCGUGGCGAAGGCGACUAUCUGGGCCAACACUGACACUGAGACACGAAAGCGUGGGGAGCAAACAGGAUUAGAUACCCCAGUAGUCCCUGUCUCUUAUAC
rnacentral:rRNA from 1 species